CUCCAGUUCUGCGUACAAGAAGUAAACGACGUGGGGGCGUGCGGUGAAACCCUAACCACCAAUCCCUUGCCCUCGAGCCCCACGCCCCCCUCCCCUUCCCAUUCGCCUCUCCCUCGUCCCCUUCGAUUCCCUCCUCCUCUACCAGCGCGUGGCCGCCGCCGCCUACCCUCAGCCACACUGGCGACCAUCUCCGCCUCUUUCUCGAUCUGCUACCGUCGCGCGCCGUGCUUCUAGAUCAGGUGCAGAGCGCCUCCUAGGAGAGCAGGGCGGCAUGAUUUUCUUGAUGUGUGUGGAGGAGCAGGGGAGGAGGAGGAGGAGGACAGGAGCAGCGAGGUGGGAGCUCCAGGCGGUGCCAGGGUGUGCGAAAAGCCCGAGCCGAGGAUGUGAAGGUCCCUCCCGGCCCAUCAUUGUUCAAGGCAUGGGGUUGCUGCCUGAUUUGAAGUUGAUUUGAGAUUGCUGCUUGUCGUUGGUCGUAAGCAGAGACUUUGUGGUGGUCAAAGUCUCCCACCUCCAGCGGUUGGUUUCCAAUGGUUCAUGCAACGAAAUGGACUCUUGUGUCCAGCCUGGAGUGUGCAGUGUAGUGGCUGGUAGGGAAAGUACAGAGGAAUCUGCUUACAGAGUGUCUUAAUCUGAGAGAUUUUACCUGCUCAGCAAAGUGUAAAAAGGCUGCUCGACAAAGUGUAAAAUGGUAAAGAUCCGAGAAAGAAGAGAAGAUAAUCUAGCGGAGGAAGGUCUUCUCUCUUGUGGAACAUAAUAAGUUGCAGUGGUGGAAGAUAUAUCCUCGGCCAUGAAUGGAUGUGUUUGACAUUGUGAGAUGGUGUAGGUCACUGAUGAGGCAAGUGACCGAGGUGAGCUCAUGAAGACAAAGCGGCACAAAUAAACUUCUGACAAGCUCAUAGGAAACUUUUGUGAUUGGCAAUUAGCAUCAACACUUUGAAGAGCUCGGUGUAGUGGUUUGAAUGUAAGUAGUCUCUCUCUUCGUGUGUUGUUGCUUCUGUAUCUUUCAAGCUGCUCUAUUCCCAAUCUGUUAAAUGGUUAUGUUAGCCCUGAGUUCAAUUUAGUUUCAGUUUGUAUAUCUAAUGCAUCAAAAAUAAUAUUACUUGGCUAAUGAACCUUCUUUCCAUGAUACAUGGUCAUUAUGUUAUUAUUGGUGUUCUUCCGUAUUUACUUUGAGAAUGGUCUAGCUUAGAGAGAAUAAAUUGCUUCAUAAUCAUGCCUAACAUUGUCAAUGACCUACAUAAACCACCUCUUCUGUUUGUCUACUUUCUCCCUAUAUUUUACAUACUUUACAUGCUUUUCGAAUCCUUUUAUUUAGGGAAAAAUGCUAGCUGUUAAUUGUGUUUUCCCACUGACUAGCUUUUAUCUUGCCAAAGUGCAUGCCUAGGCGUGCUUUAGAGCUAAGCGUUGGUUGGCAAAAAAGAGAGCUAGAUGUUCUGUUGUUGCAUAAUAAAUCAGAUGUAGGUAACCCGUACUGUCCUUUGCAUAAUAGAUCAUGUAUUUAUUUUUGUUCAUCAGGAGUGAAUUGUUUGCCUGUUUGCUUUUGACCUGAGUUUAAUCCUACAAAUGUGGUCAUCAAAUUUAGCCGCUAGGUCCAUAGAGUAGCUGAUGUUUAGCAUCCUCUGAAGGCAAACACACUUCAAGAAAGCGUACUUUAUACCUAUUGUUGCAGAAGGUAUAUGCUGAACUUGCUAGCUGUAUACAUUUUUAGCCUCACAUCGGUAAGAGAAAAUAAAUACGAAAAGAAAAGCAACACCAAGGUUUUCUUGUAGUUGUGCCCAUUUUAGCAUUAUUACGCAAAAUUAGACAAGUCUACCUCUACCACCGUUUUCUUUUGCGGGUGAACCUCUGCCACCCGUAACAACGAUAAAAUUUCACUGCUUUGUUUUUGUGCUUAUCAUAAUGUAUUGCAUGUCGCCUUCUCUUCAGUCAGAACCAAACUACACAUACUUGUUUAUUUAUAAAAGAACCAAACUACACAAGUUAAAACCAUUUUACUACUCUUUUAAGUGCAUGAUUUAACUGUAUGCCCACAAUUGCUAUUGCCAGCAAACAAGUUUCUGAUUUCUCGCACUAACAAUUCUCACGAUACUUAUACACGUUUAAGAAUAUGAGCAUCCGAAGUAUAUCAUUCGCGGUGAGCCAAUGCCAGGCUACAAUGCUUAUUAUCCUGUUUUGAUAUUCUCCAUUUAAAAUAAAAUGACCUAAUAGUUUCUAUGAUCUGCUAUACCUCUCUGACGUCAAUUUUCUGCCUUAGAACCGAAAAAACAUAUAUCAGACCGAUCAAUAAUGCUCAACUUAACUAAUUUGCUUACUAUAUUAUUCCUGCCAUAGGUUUAAAGCUUAAUUCUACUUUUCUCUUGAUGAAAGCUUAGUCUCCUAACAACAAAUAAUAUUCAGCCUUCUUACAUGUGCUGCUUCAUUUCCAUCUUACCAAAACGAAACUAAAUGCAGGACCACCCCCUGCUAUCCAAUACUGCGGAGAGCUUGAAGCAUUGAAGUGAAGCUGAAAGAUCGUGGAUGUCGCCUAGGGGGGGGUGGGGGGUGAAUAGGCGUUUUAAAAUAAUUAUGGUUUAGGCUUGAACAAUUGCGGAAUAAACCUAGCGGUUAAUUUGACAAGCAC